rnacentral:rRNA from 1 species
CGGACGGGUGAGUAACGCGUGAGAACCUGCCUCUAGGACGGGGACAACAGUUGGAAACGACUGCUAAACCCGGAUGAGCCGAAAGGUAAAAGAUUAAUCGCCUAGAGAGGGGCUUGCGUCUGAUUAGCUAGUUGGUGAGGUAAGAGCCCACCAGGGCGACGAUCAGUAGCUGGUCUGAGAGGAUGAUCAGCCACACUGGGACUGAGACACGGCCCAGACUCCUACGGGAGGCAGCAGUGGGGAAUUUUCCGCAAUGGGCGAAAGCCUGACGGAGCAAGACCGCGUGGGGGAGGAAGGUCCUUGGAUUGUCAACCCCUUUUCUCAGGGAAGAACACAAUGACGGUACCUGAGGAAAAAGCAUCGGCUAACUCCGUGCCAGCAGCCGCGGUAAUACCGGGGAUGCAAGCGUUAUCCGGAAUGAUUGGGCGUAAAGAGUCCGUAGGUAGUCAUCCAAGUCUGCUGUUAAAGAGCGAGGCUUAACCUCGUAAAGGCAGUGGAUACUGGAAGACUACAUUGUACUAUGGGCAGAGGGAAUUCCUGGUGUAGCAGUGAAAUGCCUAUAGAUCAGGAAGAACACCCGUGGCUAAGGCGCUCUGCUGGGCUAUAACUGACACUGAGGGACGAAAGCUAGGGGAGCGAAUGGGAUUAGAUACCCCAGUAGUC